CCGGUAAAACAGAGCUGCUCUGUUCUGCCCUCCAAGCAGUCAUACUAGGUUUCUUGUGGUGAAGAGCUUGACAAAACCGGUUCCAUUUCUUUCUCAGUCCACUCAAUUCAUCCUGAAAGUUAAACCCACAAAAAAAAC
rnacentral:sRNA from 1 species